GCAACAGGCAGGCUUCUGAACUAAACACACACCUGAUUUGGUUAUCUAGCUUGAGAGAAACUUCUGCCAUCCAGUUGGGUAAACGAAUGAGCUUUUGAGAGAAUGAACUAGUAUGUGAACAGAAGUGAACGCAAGCAGCCUUGGCUUCUGCAGACCACCACCAACUAGGGCUGCCAGGCAGGGAUGGUGACUAUUCUCAACAGACUGCAAAAUCCACAGUGAAUGUCAAAUUCCUUCCAAAGGAAAGGAUUGAUUCUGUUAUUGAGGCAUGCUUUGUAAACGUGCCCUGCUUCUUUAAACACAAAGAACAACAUGGCAAAUCGGACUGAGGGAGAGGCUUGCUGAGCCAAGCAAUGGAGCAGAUCAAACCAUCUGCAGCACUAGGCUCAACGUAGGGAGACAUAAGCAGUUCUGAUGUGAGAAAAGGGAAGAGGCUAAAGAGGAAAGUGACACACAAUGGGAGAAGGACCCAACCCUGCCCCUUGUCUUUGAAGAGGAUGGAAGGGGCCAUGAACCAGGAAUGAUUAAACAUUUGAAGCAGAGUCAUGUGAGUUUCUACUCCACAGGCUAUUUAAGGAAGGACAGGAAAAUGUGCUAAUGGAAUCCACAAUUCUAGCAUUUGAAAUCUCGAUAUUUUCCUAUGUGACCCCUUUACAAAAAUCUUCAGGGGUACACACCAAGCACAGGGAGGUUGUGAUAAAGAGAGCUAAGUCAUGGGCCUUGUGGCAAGAAGAUCUGCUGCUCCGAUGGGAACCCCCUGGCCCCACCAUGCAGGAGGCAGGUCAUCACCUUAUAUUCAGUCUUUGCAUUAGAAAAUGAAGCAGCAUUGUUCACUAUGAGCAGGAACAACAGCUGCAGUGGAGUCUGGACACAGGGACAGAAAUGCCCGCUUCAGAACCAGGCAGAAACCUCACUUGGAGACACAUCCACCCUGAGCCCUGAGGGAAGGGGUUUGACGAAGACUUAUGAUCUAAGGUGGAAGGACAUUUAAUACCACCAGGGAGAUAAAUCUUCUGACUUUCCUACAAACCUUUGAGUCCUGGACUCUUAAUCAGUUCAGUAUUCGUGGUACCAAAGAAUUUGCCAGCUGUGUCUCUACACCUGAACUUGAAGCACUGAUGUGUGCAUGACAUGACCAAGGCCAUUCAGAAGAAUGAAGGUGAUCCUCCAGGAGCAGCACAUAGCUGGUCUACUGGGACUCACUCCAUGUGUAGAACUAUCUGACAUCCUCAUGAAUAUAUGUCUCUCUCAGGUCAAAAAUCUCUGAUGAUGGGGCCUGCAGAUCUUCCCUGGUACCAUGAAACUGACAAGAAGAAAAUAUGUGGCGACCUCGGUUGGCAGCUCUUUGGUGAUCUGACACAAACCAUGAGGAAGAUUUAAACUGUCUCUCAGUGAGGAACAGACUGCAUAUCCUCCAGGCUGUCCUCCAGGAAUGGCAUUGUCCACAACCGACCUUUCGAUGAGAAUUAGACAGGGCUGCAUUCCAAGUGUCUGCAAGGGCACAGAGUGCAGACAACCCAAUGACUAAUUAAUUAAGGAAAUAAUCUCUGUAGUAAAUGUGUUGAGGAUGUAGUCUGACCCAUGAUUCCAAGUAAAAUCUCAUUUUAAAAAAGACUUCUGAAAUUAAACAAAGCUAUAUUACAUUGUAUAUAGUAAGAUGCUGAGAAAAAAAGUUGGUUAACAAAA
rnacentral:lncRNA from 1 species